UACCAGCUCUCCGAGUUGUAGGGAUGAUUAUUGGGCUUAAAGCGUCCGUAGCUGGCUUAGCAAGUCUCCUGUUAAAUUCAGCGACCUAAUCAUUGAGCCGCGGGAGAUACUACUAGGCUAGGAGGCGGGAGAGGUCGACGGUACUUUCGGGGUAGGGGUGAAAUCCUAUAAUCCCGGGAGGACCACCAGUGGCGAAGGCUAUCGACUAGAACGCGCUCGACGGUGAGGGACGAAAGCUGGGGGGAGCGAACCGGAUUAGAUACCCGGGUAGUCCCAGCUGUAAACUAUGCGGGCUAGGUGUUGGGGUGGCUACGGGCCACUUCAGUGCCGCAGGAAAGCCAUUAAGCCCGCCGCCUGGGGAGUACGGCCGCAAGGCUGAAACUUAAAGGAAUUGGCGGGGGAGCACCACAAGGCGUGAAGCUUGCGGUUC
rnacentral:rRNA from 1 species